rnacentral:ncRNA from 1 species
AUCAAAGGGGUGCCCGGGCUGUCCGGGCUGAGAUUAUACCCUCAAAACCUGAUGCAGACAAUACUGACGUAGGGAUUGA